GCCAUCGAAAACAAAGAAGAAGAAACGUAGGCUUGGCAGUAGUGUAAAGCUGCAGCAGCAUGGCAGACACCAGUGAGGAGUCACAUGGUUGUGAAAACGAAGAUAAAUGCUCUGAUAAUGAUUUUGAAACGUCAAAACUCGGGACCAAAGAAUAUUGGGAGGAAGCCUACCAAAAAGAACUAGAGACGUUUAAAGACAUUGGAGACAUUGGGGAAAUAUGGUUUGGUGAAGAAAGCAUGAGUCGUGUCCUGCGAUGGAUGGACAGAGCUAAGAUCCCAGAGGAUGCAGCCAUUCUUGAUAUCGGCACUGGAAAUGGGGCCUUCUUGGUUGAACUGGCGAAGCAUGGAUACAAGAACCUUACAGGUGUAGAUUAUUCCCCCGCAUCAAUAGAACUGGCCAGAAACAUCCUGCAGGCAGAGGGCUUGACUGAUGUCACUGUGAAGGAGGUUGAUUUCCUGAGCUCUGCAGGAGAACUCAGAGGUUUUGAUUUCUGCAUUGACAAAGGAACAUUCGAUGCCAUUAGUUUAAACCCGGACAACAACAAGGAGUGCAAAAAACUGUAUGUCCGCACCCUAAAAGAAGCUCUUAAAGACAAUGGCAUGUUUGCUAUCACUUCCUGUAACUGGACCAAAGAGCAGUUGCUAGAGAGAUUCUCUGACGGAUUUGAAUUUGUACAGGAGUUGCCUACCCCUAGUUUCCAGUUUGGAGGAAAAACUGGCAACAGUGUGGCAGCACUUAUCUUCAAGAAAGUACACAGUUGAGGUUUCAAAAAGUGAAUGUUUGUCUUUUUUUGCAGUAGUUUUUUUUUUUUUUUUUUUUUCAACAUUUUUGUUUCUAUUUGAUGCAGAACAUUUUAUUAGUCUGUUCUACAAGACCUGACCCCAGUAUGUUGCAAUAAAACAAAUGAAUGGUAAAUAUUAGAACAGUUUUUGGUUUAAUAAAAUGAGUUUUUGAAACAAGAUCUAGUUUUUUCCAGUCUUCAACUAUUCAUUUUUUCCCUCCUUCCAUAAAUCAUCCUGUAAUCCCUGACAUGUCUUUGCAACGACUUCUUUGAGAAUCCGAACACAGAGAUGACCAGUAUUCUCUCUCGCUAGGUUAUAAAUUUAAUUUGCCUCCAACCAUUGUGAGAAUGGAGAGAAUGGUGCCCAUCUAAUUGGUUAAACUGGAAACCAGCAACACUGGGGGUCCCGAGGAUGAUGAUUAACAACUUCUAACAUCAUGAAUAAACAGGAGGCUGUGGCUUCUAUGGGAGAGGAGCUUUGCUACCCUCCUCCUUCCUAAAUGGCAUCAUUAAUAUCUGCCAAGCUCUGGAUGCUAAUUGCAAGCUGCACAGGCAAGUGGCCCAAUGGGAGCCGUCCACGUCGACACACACUAUUGAGUAAACACAUCCGAGAUUUACAAGAAUUACUGCCUGGAAAUUUACAAGACUGUGUAUCCUGUCUGGUUAAGGCACGUUGUGCCCACAUUUACAGCACUGAGAUUUUCCCAUGAAGUGAAAUGUUUUUGUUGGGUUUUGGAGUUUCUGCUCAAUGGAAUCAUCCCCUCCUGCAGGCUCAGUGUUUUUAAUGUGUAAUUAUGCAGCAGGUAGUGUUUCACAUUUCUCUCAACAUGUCAUGAAAACUUAAACUAAUGUUGGAAUGAUGUUUCCCACAGUGAUAUUCAACUUUUUUUUUCUUGUAAAAAGGUUGUUUUUGUUAAAUAUAUUAAGUGUUAUUCGUACACAAGUUGAGAUUUUUUUUUUCUUCAAAUUAGGUUGGCUUCCAGGGAUAUUUGUUGCCCAUAGAUGCCAC